UAAACAAGUCCAUUGCUUGAACGACAUCCGCGUCUCCUCGCGCGUCGGGGCCUCCUGUAUAAUUCAUGAGCCAGGGCCGCUUUGCGUAAUUCACAAUUAAGGCCCGGCCAACGAGCUUUCAUGUUUCCUGUUGCGCUCCCUCAACUUUUUGUGGUUCCUAGUCAACAGUUAGACAAGCUUGCCUGAGAUGGUCUGCGGGGAGACACAGUAUUUGUGUAUUAGUAGGGAGCUUAUGAAUUAUGUAGCCACCGUUGGUAAGCCAAAGGGAUCGGCUGCUGCAACAAGCCAGCUGGCUUUUGAAAAAUAGGAGAGAGAGACAGGGAGAGGGAGAGCCAUAUUUAACUGGGUAUGUUAUUGAUUUAAAACACACACACACACACACAACACACCUGCAUUUCAAGGAAGAUUGGGGAUUUGGGGAUAGGGAAAAACACCUUAUAGAUUUUUAAAAUUAUGAUUUCAGCCCAAGAUCCUUCAUUCUUUCCCUUCGGACUGUUUAAUCCCUUUGGAUUUACCGCAGUUCUGCUGUAGCGCAGCCUUCAUGAGCAAGGGAUUGCUCAAAAGUACAUCCCCCUUCUGAAUACUUCUGACACUUAUUCUGAUGGAACAGGAUUCCAAGGGAGCUUUACUUGAAAGGCCAGCGGGGUUUAAAAUCCCCCUGACAGCAGUAAGGCUAGUGUCUCCUAGCCUUAGGAGGAAUUCAGAAUUUGAUGGAAACUGGUCCGAUCUGCCCCAUCUGUGUUUGUCAGUGGUGAGUCAGGAUUCUAGCUUUGUCGCCAGCCUCCUCCUUUUUGUUGCAUUCUACAAGGGCAAUUUUGUUGGAUUCUACAAGAGGCGAAGGAAGAGGACGCUAACAGGCAGUGCCACCCCCUGGACUGGUUCUAGGCCCUUUUCACUGUCUCAAUAAUAUCCAGAAUGUUGCACUCCUAUGCUGCCUUCCUUGAAAGACUCCAAAGGAACACUUCCUUGCUUCCUCUCCCUCAUCUUAUUCUGCCUCACGUCACUCACCAAACUAUGCCCUGCCUGCAUUGUGAAUUAAAGACCCGUCUAGCUUCCAGACUGUCUGGGAUCUCUUCCCAAAUGGACCUGCCAGGACACUUUCCCAAAAUCCAGUAAAAACAGAGAGAAAAAGGCAUUUUGGAGAAAAAUAGAGCCUUUCUUCAAUGGAUGGGCUGGCCCUGAAUGUUUGCACAAUGCUGCACUUGAUUGCUGAUACAUGUUUGCUGACUGCACAGUGGACUUCAUUUUCCAGACCUGUCAAUCAGGCAUUUUUAUAGGAGAAGUGAGGAGAACAUAGAGCAAUGGGGACGUAAGUUAAAGGCCUGACAGCUCUAGCAGAGAGCAGUGACUGGAGCCUUGAGCACUGAAAGACGUUGAAGCAUUGUUUCUCAGAAUACAAUGAUUCACCUAAAACACCUCCUCUCUUCCUGCAGGGGCCUGUCCUAUUGAUACAUCUAGGGAGAGAGAGGCAGGCAAGCAGCACUCUUAUACAAAAUACAACAUGGCACUCUGCUUUUUGUCAAACUUAGCAAUCCCACUCAUUGUCCUUGAGGAUGUGCUUGACAGAAUGAGAGUCUCCCUUUAGAAAAUAGAUACCCUGUAGAGUCAGAAGGAAUUGUGGCAUAUAUCGCACAGAGAGAUCUGCCAUUGUGGAUCAGUCCAAUGAUCCAUCUAAGCCAAUAUUCUGUCUAGCUCUUCGUUAGAGCCGACAAAACUUCAUUAAGAGAGCUGUUAAGCACCCCAGCCUUGCUCCUGCUGCUAGCAACAGCAACAGCACCAGCACCACACCACAACACAACACAAGAGAGACAUAGGAGAUACAAACAAACAAAUAAAUGGCAGAGUUUCAAGUCAACAUGAUGAUUCAGGGUGGGUUCCCGGGUUCUCAACCCUAUUUAGGACACAUUCUCAUGUUUAAUGGAUCUUUUGAGAAAUGUUUAUUCAUGGCAAUGCAUGUCACAGAGGGUGGUGACAUGAAAAUGGGCAUUUUCACCAUUGCCCCUGCAUUGGGCGAUGUCCUCUCUGCCACAUGUGAAGCACUAUUCACCAUUCACUUCAGACAUCUGCAAAGAGAUACAUUAUUGCUCAGGCUUUUUCUGACCAUAAGACUGGACCCCAUUAUUUGUGAAUUCCUGUCUUUAUUAUACUGGUUUUUUAAAAAAAUCUUAUAUUGUAUUUCUGCAUAGUGCUUAAGAUAUGUUUAAAUAUUAAGAGGCCUAAAAUGAUUUUAAAUUAAAUUAAACCAACUCUCCCACCCAGAGUCAGCGGAACUUCUAAAGUGCUGAGCAUUGACUAGCUCCAUUGUAAUUUAGAUUCAACUCUUAGGCAUUUGGGAGGAAGUAAAAUUAAGAACAAGUUAUUAAAAGCAUUUAAAAGAUAAUUAAAAUUAAUAGGAAGCCAUUUUUUAAAUAAAAAAAUACAGUUCCCAGAAUUAUUUGGGGGAAGCCAUUUGCAUUAAAUGUUCUUUAAAUGUGUAGUGUGUGUGCAUCCUUGUGUUGUAACAAACUAACCUGGCAACCUCUCUAGAAUUCAAAAUACUGGGGAAGCUUCCCUGGGCAGUUAAUAAGAGUCCUGCACUGAUGACCAUAACAGAUACUUCUCCCUGGUUUUUAUGUAUCUCAGCUGUUCUGGUGAAAGGUUCCAAGGGUCGAAACUCAGUGAUAAUUCCAUUGUAAACUGAAAGGCUGAGGGAUCACAAGUGAUAAUUCUUAAUACUUGCACAGGAAUUUAUCCACCUCCUUGAAGCAUGAGCCAAGCCUUCUGUUAAUCCACCCAAAUGCCGCCAGUUCAAUGCAAUGAGCAAUUAGUUAAUGUUUGUGGAGUUCUUGGCAAACAUUGGGUUCUAAUUGGUAUUAUCCGUAUCUACACUGAAACAUUUUGAAAGAGCCCAGUGAGGUUAAAUGGGUUCAUGUGAAAACAGGCUGUAUUGGCAAGGUUCCAUCCUUUAUUUAUUCAUUUGCUUACAAUUGUAUUGAUUUUUAAAAUGAAAAACAUAAGCAAAAGACAUAACCACCACUGUAUUACUUUAGAAACAUCCAUUAAUAAUAGCUGUAUUGACAAAGCUGACAAAGGGAAUAAAAAAAUAGCCAGUCUGUGCAAUUGAUCGAGAAGAGACUCUGCAGAAACUGGAAUUUGGGCAAGACCUCAGGUCCUGUCCUGGCCUUGGGAUACUCUUGAAUAUGGCCUCGUUCUAACCCUGCAGCUUUGUGAACUCAAACUGAAUGUAACAGGGCAACAAUCCAUAUAAAAUGAAAGGGGGUCUGUUAGUUUUUACUAUCUGCAUUUUAACAGAUUUGUCUUUGUAUUGUUUUAAUUCUAUUACCGUUUAACUAAUUUUAAACUAUUUUCUUUUACAUGUUUUUAGCCUCCUGUGU